GACGAACGCUGGCGGCGUGCCUAAUACAUGCAAGUAGAACGCUGAAGGAGGAGCUUGCUUCUCUGGAUGAGUUGCGAACGGGUGAGUAACGCGUAGGUAACCUGCCUGUUAGCGGGGGAUAACUAUUGGAAACGAUAGCUAAUACCGCAUAAGAGUAGAUGUUGCAUGACAUUUGCUUAAAAGAUGCAAUUGCAUCACUACUAGAUGGACCUGCGUUGUAUUAGCUAGUUGGUGGGGUAACGGCUCAACAAGGCGACGAUACAUAGCCGACCUGAGAGGGUGAUCGGCCACACUGGGACUGGGGCACGGCCCAGACUCCUACGGGAGGCAGCAGUAGGGAAUCUUCGGCAAUGGACGGAAGUCUGACCGAGCAAAGCCGCGUGAGUGAAGAAGGUUUUCGGAUCGUAAAGCUCUGUUGUAAGAGAAGAACGAGUGUGAGAGUGGAAAGUUCACACUGUGACGGUAUCUUACCAGAAAGGGACGGCUAACUACGUG
rnacentral:rRNA from 1 species